rnacentral:lncRNA from 10 species
CUACAGGCGCCCACCACCAUGCCCGGCUAAUUUUUUUGUAUUUUUAGUAGAGACAGGGUUUCACCAUGUUAGCCAGGAUGGUCUCGAUCUCAUGACUUCGUGAUCUGCCCACCUCGACCUCCCAAAGUGCUGGGAUUGCAGGUGUGAGCCACCGCGCCCAGCAUUUUUUUUUUUUUUUUUGAGAUGGAGUCUCACACUAUUGCCUGGGCUGGAGUGCAGUGGUGCCAUCUUGGCUCACUGUGACCUGUGCCUCCUAGGUUCAAGCGAUUCUCCUAUCUCAGCCUCCUGAGUAGCUGGGAUUACAGAUGCCAGCCACCACGCCUAGCUAAUUUUUGUAUUUUUAGUAGAGAUGGGGUUUCAUCAUGUUGGCCAGGCUGGUCUCGAACCCCUGACCUCAGGUGAUCCACCUGUCUUGGCCUCCCAAAGUGCUGGGAUUAUAGGUGUGAGCUGCUAUAUAUUUCUUGGCACUUUCAGUAAUAGAGGCUGUUAAGCCACAACACCUCAAGGAUUAAGAACACAUGAUGUUAAAAUAGAUGUGGCUACUAGGGCCUCCCAUUUCCCUGACAGAGGCACACCUCAAGGCUGGGGCCUGUGCAGUGAGAAAUCCACCAGCAGAAUGAAGCCUAGAACCUUGGUCCACUGUCUUUUAGGCUAGGGGAAGAGGGGAGAAGUGCCUACAUUAGUCCAUGCCCAAGUUUGGGGAUCCUAUUUUCUUGUCCCACCACAAUACAUAUAACUUCCUUGCUAAUACAAUAUUUUUCUUUCAUUGACAUUGGGCCUACUUAAGAAGUCAGUGCAGGCCGGAUGUGGUGGCUCACGCCUGUAAUCUCAGCACUUUGGGAGGCCGAGGUGGGCAGAUUACUUCUAAGGUCAGGAGUUCAAGACCAGCCUGGCCAACACGGUGAAAACCCAUCUCUACUAAAAGUACAAGAAUUAGCCAGGUGUGGUGGUGUGCACCUGUAGUCUCAGCUACUCAGGAGGCUGAGGCAGGAGAAUCGCUUGACCCCGGGAGGCAGAGGCUGCAGUGAGCCGAGAUCGUGCCACUGUACUCCAGCCUAGGCAACAGAGCCAGGCUUGGUUUCAAAAAAAAAAAAAAAAGUCAGUUCAGUAACUGGCCAUCACUAACCAGAAAGACAGUCAGUAAAAGCUUAACAGAACACACAGUAAAGAAUUCAGUGGGUCCAGUGCAGUGGCUCACGCCUGUAAUCCCAGCACUUUGGGAGGCCAAGGCGGGCAGAUCACGAGGUCAACAGAUCAAGACCAUCCUGGCCAACAUGGUGAAACCCCAUCUCUACUAAAAAUACAAAAAUUAGCUGGGUGUGGUGGCGCGUGCCUGUGAUCCCAGCUACUCAGGAGGCUGAGGCAGGAGAACUGCUUGACCCCGGGAGGCUGCAGUGACCUGAGAUCACACCACUGC